rnacentral:rRNA from 1 species
GAUUGAACGCUGGCGGCAGGCCUAACACAUGCAAGUCGAGCGGUAGCACAGAGAGCUUGCUCUCGGGUGACGAGCGGCGGACGGGUGAGUAAUGUCUGGGAAACUGCCUGAUGGAGGGGGAUAACUACUGGAAACGGUAGCUAAUACCGCAUAACGUCGCAAGACCAAAGUGGGGGACCUUCGGGCCUCAUGCCAUCAGAUGUGCCCAGAUGGGAUUAGCUGGUAGGUGGGGUAACGGCUCACCUAGGCGACGAUCCCUAGCUGGUCUGAGAGGAUGACCAGCCACACUGGAACUGAGACACGGUCCAGACUCCUACGGGAGGCAGCAGUGGGGAAUAUUGCACAAUGGGCGCAAGCCUGAUGCAGCCAUGCCGCGUGUGUGAAGAAGGCCUUCGGGUUGUAAAGCACUUUCAGCGGGGAGGAAGGCGGUGAGGUUAAUAACCUCACCGAUUGACGUUACCCGCAGAAGAAGCACCGGCUAACUCCGUGCCAGCAGCCGCGGUAAUACGGAGGGUGCAAGCGUUAAUCGGAAUUACUGGGCGUAAAGCGCACGCAGGCGGUCUGUCAAGUCGGAUGUGAAAUCCCCGGGCUCAACCUGGGAACUGCAUUCGAAACUGGCAGGCUAGAGUCUUGUAGAGGGGGGUAGAAUUCCAGGUGUAGCGGUGAAAUGCGUAGAGAUCUGGAGGAAUACCGGUGGCGAAGGCGGCCCCCUGGACAAAGACUGACGCUCAGGUGCGAAAGCGUGGGGAGCAAACAGGAUUAGAUACCCUGGUAGUCCACGCUGUAAACGAUGUCGAUUUGGAGGUUGUGCCCUUGAGGCGUGGCUUCCGGAGCUAACGCGUUAAAUCGACCGCCUGGGGAGUACGGCCGCAAGGUUAAAACUCAAAUGAAUUGACGGGGGCCCGCACAAGCGGUGGAGCAUGUGGUUUAAUUCGAUGCAACGCGAAGAACCUUACCUGGUCUUGACAUCCACAGAACUUUCCAGAGAUGGAUUGGUGCCUUCGGGAACUGUGAGACAGGUGCUGCAUGGCUGUCGUCAGCUCGUGUUGUGAAAUGUUGGGUUAAGUCCCGCAACGAGCGCAACCCUUAUCCUUUGUUGCCAGCGGUCCGGCCGGGAACUCAAAGGAGACUGCCAGUGAUAAACUGGAGGAAGGUGGGGAUGACGUCAAGUCAUCAUGGCCCUUACGACCAGGGCUACACACGUGCUACAAUGGCAUAUACAAAGAGAAGCGACCUCGCGAGAGCAAGCGGACCUCAUAAAGUAUGUCGUAGUCCGGAUUGGAGUCUGCAACUCGACUCCAUGAAGUCGGAAUCGCUAGUAAUCGUAGAUCAGAAUGCUACGGUGAAUACGUUCCCGGGCCUUGUACACACCGCCCGUCACACCAUGGGAGUGGGUUGCAAAAGAAGUAGGUA